UACAGAGGUCUCAAGCGUUGUUCGGAUUCAUUGGGCGUAAAGGGUGUGUAGGUGGCGCGCUAAGUCGGGUGUGAAAUUUCGGAGCUUAACUCCGAAACUGCAUUCGAUACUGGCGUGCUUGAGGACUGGAGAGGAGACUGGAAUUCAUGGUGUAGCAGUGAAAUGCGUAGAGAUCAUGAGGAAGACCAGUGGCGAAGGCGGGUCUCGUGGACAGUUCCUGACACUGAGACACGAAGGCCAGGGAGCAAACGGG
rnacentral:rRNA from 1 species